UGUCGCCUGAGUGUUUGCCUGUAAUGGUAAUCCAAACCCGCUCCUGAUAGCUGCCCAUCUAACAAGCUCCACGUACCCACUACUGUCCAUGCCCGUUUCAUCCACUGGAUCCAUUCAUCUAAGUUCUCCAGGCACCCAGUAUCCCUAGGUUAUCAGCCACUACUCUGUUCAGACGAAGAUAACAUCUCGGUAACAUCAGUCCAACAUUACAUCCGUUGCUGGAAGACCACUAUCAACACUCUCAAUAACCUGGUUAACCUUAAGGACACCCACAAAGAUAUCGAGACCACAAACAAAUAGUUGCCCUUCUUCUGGGUGGAAGCAACCUGCAAAUCAAUGUGCAGAGAACCCCAUGCAUCCCCCAAGGACCAGACCCUUUCACCAACAUUUUCAUAUUGUUCAAAUAAACUUUAUUUAUCUGAUUUCCUGUUCUCCUGGUGGUCUGCAUGUGGGUUAAGAAACUAGAACCCAUCAUGACAGCUUGCUUGUAAAUUUAUCAGAUAUGUUAAAAUUUCAUUGUAAAUGUUAGCACUGUAGUUAGAUAUCUCAGUAAAAGUAAAAUAAGAUUUUCUAUGAUGGCUUAGAGACCUUUCAAGUGAUUUGAUAAAUCCUACUUUACUGUUCCCAAAGGGCUGUUCAUUUGAAGCAGUCUACAAAGUCUACACUACGAUAGUAACGCUCACUUUCCAGUUAUGUUAAUGAUUUUUAAAAUCUAAAAUUUUGUGGUAAUAUUUCAAGUUUACAUUAAAAUGUAAAUGGUUGUGACCUGAAGCACAAUAAUUUUACCAAACAAGUUAACAUAGUUUUGACACGAGUUAAAGUUUUAUGGAUUCUGAAGCGCUCAUGAAUCCAGUGAAAUAAAAAUUGUAAGAAAACUAUGUAAAAACAAGAAAUUUUCCAGCUGUAGUUAAAGAAUGGAUUUU